GACGAACGCUGGCGGCGUGCUUAACACAUGCAAGUCGAACGGAAAGGCCCUGCUUUUGUGGGGUGCUCGAGUGGCGAACGGGUGAGUAACACGUGAGUAACCUGCCCUUGACUUUGGGAUAACUUCAGGAAACUGGGGCUAAUACCGGAUAGGAGCUCCUGCUGCAUGGUGGGGGUUGGAAAGUUUCGGCGGUUGGGGAUGGACUCGCGGCUUAUCAGCUUGUUGGUGGGGUAGUGGCUUACCAAGGCUUUGACGGGUAGCCGGCCUGAGAGGGUGACCGGCCACAUUGGGACUGAGAUACGGCACAGACUCGUACGGGAGGCAGCAGUGGGGAAUAUUGCACAAUGGGCGGAAGCAUGAUGCAGCAACGCCGCGUGCGGGAUGACGGCCUUCGGGUUGUAAACCGCUUUCGCCUGUGACGAAGCGUGAGUGACGGUAAUGGGUAAAGAAGCACCGGCUAACUACGUG
rnacentral:rRNA from 1 species